UACGGUAGGUGCGAGCGUUGUCCGGAAUUAUUGGGCGUAAAGAGCUCGUAGGCGGUUUGUCACGUCUGCUGUGAAAUCCCGAGGCUCAACCUCGGGCCUGCAGUGGGUACGGGCAGACUGGAGUGCGGUAGGGGAGAAUGGAAUUCCUGGUGUAGCGGUGGAAUGCGCAGAUAUCAGGAGGAACACCGAUGGCGAAGGCGGGUCUCUGGGCCGAUAUUGACGCUGAGGAGCGAAAGCGUGGGGAGCGAAACAGG
rnacentral:rRNA from 1 species